GAUGAACGCUGGCGGCGUGCCUAACACAUGCAAGUCGAACGGUGAAGCAGGAGCUUGCUCUUGUGGAUCAGUGGCGAACGGGUGAGUAACACGUGAGCAACCUGCCCCUGACUCUGGGAUAAGCGCUGGAAACGGCGUCUAAUACUGGAUAUGUGAUGUGACCGCAUGGUCUGCAUCUGGAAAGAAUUUCGGUUGGGGAUGGGCUCGCGGCCUAUCAGCUUGUGGGUGAGGUAAUGGCUCACCAAGGCGUCGACGGGUAGCCGGCCUGAGAGGGUGACCGGCCACACUGGGACUGAGACACGGCCCAGACUCCUACGGGAGGCAGCAGUGGGGAAUAUUGCACAAUGGGCGGAAGCCUGAUGCAGCAACGCCGCGUGAGGGAUGACGGCCUUCGGGUUGUAAACCUCUUUUAGCAGGGAAGAGGCGAAAGUGACGGUACCUGCAGAAAAAGCACCGGCUAACUACGUGCCAGCCGCCGCGGUAA
rnacentral:rRNA from 1 species